UCCUCCCAAGGGCUGAGACUGAGACCCCUACUACAGGGAGGAGGGGAAAUUGGUGGUCUGACCACUAAUGACAUGACCUGUUUCCCUUCAGUAAUUUUAAUGGACUUAUUCUUCAUUGGAUUCAUCUUGCUUUGGUGGUUUCUGUGGACUCACCUGUUCCCGCGUGGCGAUUACAAUGGACUUUCAUUGUUACACUUGUUCCCCGCUCUUUCCUCUGUGGACUAUAACUGGAGCCCCGAGUCGACCAGAACUUCGGAGACUCCCCCGACACGACAGACGGAUCCCCAUCGUCCGGACCACUGAGGAUCUCGCCUGUGUUGAAGAACUCCGAGGGACAUGAAGACCACCUAAUCCAUGAUAAAACUGGUAAUAUUUUUCUGCAUCCUACCACAACCCCAUGGCCAGAAACCAGCUGAGUGGCCGUGGUCUGAACUAAUUGUGGUAGCAUGCAGAAAAAGUGAAAGGAUCUCUUUAAGCACAAAAAGACCUCUUUUCAGGGUUGGAC